CGUGAGGUUCAUGAGCCAUAUCCGGACCUCCCACAGCAAUCAGAAUCGAGAAAAAUUUCAGUAACAUAUUGCUGUCUCUGGAUUCAGAAAUGCCUAAAGCAAGAAUUACAUCGAACUUCAAAUAAGAAACACGGACUUCCCUUACUCAAAAUGAAAGUAAUUUCCAACGGAAAUAACAGCCCUACAAAUUCAAAUAAGAAACACCAAGGAAAAAAAGCCUGCCUAUGAAACGGCCCUGUUCCGUUCCUCGGAGUCUGCCUAUGCUCUCCGCGCUCUUGCCCUUCGCCAGAUUAGAUCAAUGUUCAGCAUCAGUAAUAGUACGGCAGCAGAAUUUUAACUUGCCUAAAAUAAAGUCUACUGCUUGGUGAGAAAAUGUAGCAAACGAAACCUCAAGCAGAUUAAACAUUUACUACAGUACAUGGACUUCUCGUAACCACAGAAUUACCAGGCCAUCAGUAACAGCUCGGUAGAACAUGAGAAAAUGUCAAAGACAAGGAUCACCAUUUUCAGAAAAUAUAAACAGUGAGCAUAUUACAGAAGUUAGAAGUAAUGUAAACAGAUAGCAUACAGCUAGCUCUACUGGCACCAACUAGGAUAAUUACUGAUGCUUCACAUUCACUUCCAUGUCAAUCACUUAAGUGGAGAUAAAACUGAAAACUUCCUUGCUAUAACAACCACAACAUAUUAAAAAAAAUGAGCGAUGCAGCACUAUACCUACUAAGAAAAUCCAUCAACACGCACACAGUUAUCAGAUUCCGACACAAUAUAUAUGUAUCCCACAUGACUGAGUUACAUGUGUGGAUGUGCUUCCAUACAGCCAGCAAUCAAGACAUCCUCAUGUCCAUUAAGCAAGACAGGACUUGCACAAUGGUUGAAUAUGAAAGAUAUCCUCGUGAAAAUAUCUCUCGUGGC
rnacentral:lncRNA from 1 species